rnacentral:lncRNA from 1 species
UCCCUAUCAUUGAAUCAAACAGGAAGAUUAGGCAAAUUAUUGACUACUAUACCUCUACUGAAAUUUAAAUGAGUCAAAGCCAACAUUCCAAAUAAUAGUCCAGCAUAGUCCGAAUGUUCAUACAUGUUACAGUACAAAAAUGAGAUGAAUAUCCUAAAUACUACUAAACUAGUAACAUUUGCACUAUAACAAACAAUACAAAUAUCUUCAUUAUCAAACAUGAUCACGCAUAUACACAGCUGUGCAUUUCCAGAUUUCCUGAGUAAGGAUGAGUACCUGGAAUUACAGCAAAGAGGAAACACACCUAUGAGCAAAGUAAGUGAGAAGCAACGAAUAGAAGCAGAUCAACCAAUUAAUACCCAGGAGUAGUAUCAGGAAAAAACUCAGGAAAGUUUUGAAAAAAAGCCAACAACAACACAAGUUUCGAUCCUAUAGCUUGAACAAAGCAAACCAACCUAAGAUCAAUGCCUAAAGUAGCUUAUGAAAACUAUAACACCCUAAAUGCCUAUGUCUCAAGUCAUCUUCACCCUAUAAUGAACAGAAUUCUAAUAAUUUUAGAAGAUGUUUUUCCAGAAAAGCUUAGGAUUUUCAGGGAAUUUGUUUUCAGAUGGUGUUCUCGACCUCUUCUCUUAAAAAAAAUAUCAAUCUAAAACAAUAAGAUACCCUUUUAUAGCCAAGUCCUCAAAGCAACAUUUUCUUCUUGUUUUCUUAUUAGUCCCUUCCCCAUUUUCCAGAUUUGCUUAAUUGAUCCCUUGUUUUUUAAUUUGUGCCUCAAGUUUUGAGAAAAAUUAAUAGAAAUUGCAUUUAGAACCUCCAACUAGAAGGUUCCAGAGAUUUGUUACAAGAUUCUUAUGCCCAAAUACUCCUAUUACCCAUGUAUUUCCUUCUUAAUUACUAGCCUAAAUGUUUUCUACCUUGGUGCCUAUUCAUUUAGUCAGGAAUUGACCAUGAUCAAUUACUCAAGGGCAUAAACCAUGGUCUCAUUAGCAAUAGGGGUCGAGUUUUAAGAAAGUUGGGCAUAACUAAAUAUUAAAUUGAAGACUACACUAUACUAUUAAAGGCAAACAGAAGAUGGUCAAAAUUGAUAAAUAAUAGGUCAAUGAAACACAUAUAUACAGGCGGAUUUAGACAUGUACCAAAAUAUGGGACUGAAUUAAUCAGAAGCAAAGAUAAAUCUAACCAGCACAAACUUCAGAAACAAACAUAAAGUUUAUCACAACUGAACAUUGAUCAAAUUGAAACGAAAAAUGGAAAGUUAAACCAGGGAAGAUGAACAAUUUGAGCUUAACAAAAUAAUUCAAGUUAGUCAAGGAACAUCUAUGACUUCAAUUGGUAAUGACCAUUCAGAAAAGUUUAUCAAAAACUUAAAACAAAAAGGCACAUGAUUCUGGAUGGAAACAAAACAACUAAUCGGAAUAUUUUCACAGAUGAGCGAAUAGAAAAUUCAUGUACACAAACGAAAACAAAAAAGAAUUAAAAGCAAUCAAAAGGAAAACAGAGAACUUAGCUUAAAACUGCAACCCUAAAAAUCUUGGACUUUUGCAUCUCAUGGUCUUCGACCAUUUCUGAAAAGGUCUUUGGCCUAUUGGGAAGGCGGAGCAAUCAUUUGAAAGGGGGGAGGGUAUCCGGUGUAAGGUCGGUUAGUUUGGGAUGGGUUUGUAUUUGAGACCAUUUUUCGAUUUGAUUUUUGGCCAGUUUCUAGUUGUAUUCGAAGGCUGCUGGUUGUGGAUUUGUGCAUGGGAAGGUGAGGAGGUCACCUGGUAUCAGUUUCAAGAGAUUCUGGGGAGGUUGGAGAUUUGGUCAGCACUUUGAACUAAUAUUCGAAGAAAUGGUUAUGGGUUUGGAGGAAAUUGACCGUGGAUUCGUUAUGGGGAUGGGGUAAGGGACAUAUGGUGUUAUUUUGGAAAGGUUCCGUCGGUAGCACCGCCGUGGGCGGCGGAAGCGGUGCUCAAAAAUUUUAAUAUUCGAGCCAAUUUGCUCACAUUUGAGGCUUGGUUCCUAGGGCAUUGGAAUGAGUAGGGCACGGUGAAUCAGGGGUGUAUUUUUGGGAAGCAACGGAGCUCUGCCAUCGGCGGAGACGAUUUCCGGUCGGCGGCUAUAGGGCGGUGUAUCGACGGAGAUGGAAGGUACGAGGAAGAGGCUGUUUGUCUCGAGAGUUUGGUCUGAUUCAGACCUUUUUAUGUAAUUAUCUCAUUGAACCCAGGCCGUUGGAUUAAUAUUGAUGAACGACUGAGAUUGAUGGCCCUAAAACGACGUCGUUUUGGAGCGUCUCUCAUAGCAGCUUGGGUCAGAGAUGGGGUUGGGCCGGGUUUUGGGUACUUUUGGACGGGUAGGGUAUUUGGGCCACUCAGAUUUGGCCCAAUUGUGGCCAGCUUCAUCUAAAGGCUUUUACUUCCUUCUUCUUUUUUUCCUUUUCAUUUUAAAAUCUUCCUAAUUUAUUUUUAAAAUCUUAUUAAACUAAAUACUAAAUUCAACUAGAUUAGACUAAUAAUCACCUAAACUAAUCAAAUAUGAAAAUUAACAAUUUUGAAGCUACAAAUUAAAUAAUACCAAAAUAAACUACUUUUUUGUGAUUUUUAUAUUUCACAAAAUAGAACCCUAAUUACCAAUUAAUUCUAACAAAAAUAUGUGAAAUCAAAUCCUAAAAUGCGUAUGUACAAUUUUAUUUAUUUUUGUUGUAUUUUUUAUGAUUUGUCAUGCAUGCACCAAUGAAAAUAUACACUAAUAUGCACAAUUAAAUCCUAAAAUUGAAUAAUAAAAGGGAGAAAUUCUAAGUCUGAGAAUUCUGUAGGAGUAAUUUUAAUGAGGCAAAAAUCACGUGCUCACAGGUAUACAUGUGUUAGCCUAAAGGAUUUUGUGAUAAGGACAAAAGUCAUCUUGUUUGCAAGUUAAAUAAAUCCAUUUAUGGGCUAAAGCAGGCUUCCCGCCAAUUGUAUAUUAAAAUUUAUAAUGUUGUUUCUUCAUUUGGAUUUACGGAGAACAUCAUUGAUCAGUGUAUCUACCUUAAGAUAAGUGGGGGCAGAUAUAUUUUUCUAUUCCUAUAUGUGGAUGAUAUUUUGCUUGCAAGUAGUGAUUUGGGAUUGUUGCACGAGACUAAACAGUUCCUUAUCUAGAAUUUUGAAAUGGAGGAUAUGGGUGAAGUUUCUUAUGUCAUUAGCAUAGAGAUUCACAUAGACAGAUCACAAAGAUUACUUGGACUGUCUCAAAAGGCCUACAUUGAAAGAAUCCUGGAAAGAUUCGGGAUGAAGAACUGUUCACCUAUAGCAGCACCCAUAAUUUAAGGUGACAAAUUCUCAUUAAAUCAAUGUCCACAAAAUGCAUUGGAAAAGGAGCAAAUGAAAGACAUUCCCUAUGCUUCGCUUAUUGGGAGCCUUAUGUAUGCACAGGUCUGUACUAGACCUGAUAUUGCUUUUACGGUAGGAGUGCUUGACAAAUAUCAAAGUAACCCUGGUCUUGACCAUUUUCACUUGUUGGGAGCCUUAUAUAUGCACUGGUCUGUACUAGACAUGAUAUUGCUUUUGCGGUAGGUAUGAUUGGCAGAUAUCAAAGUAACCCUGGUCUUGACCAUUGAAAAGCUGGUAAAAGGGUCUUGAGAACCAAGGAUUUUAAGCUCAUAUACAAAUGCUCUGACUCAUUGGAGGUGAUUGGAUAUUCAGACUCUGAUUUGGGUGGAUGCAAAGACACUGGCAAAUCUACUUCAUGAUACAUUUUCCUUCUUGCUAGAGGUGUUGUGUCUUGGAGAAGUGUCAAGCAGAUCAUUGUUGCAACAUCCACAAUGGAAGCUGAAUUUAUUGCAUGCUAUGAAGCUACAUCACAUGUGUUAUGGUUGAAAAACUUUAUUUUCGGCCUUAGGAUUGUUGAUUCCAUUUCAAGGCCAUUGAGAACUUUUGUGACAAUUCAGCUGCAGUUUUCUUUUCUAAGAAUAAUAAAAGUGGCAGCCGAAGAAAGCACAUUGACAUAAAGUACUUGAUGGUUAAAGACUAUUUGAAGAAGCAAGAUAUGAAUUUUGAGCAUAUUAGUACUGCUUUGAUGAUUACUGAUCCUAUGACUAAAGGUCUGCCGUCUAAUAUUUUCAAGGAUCAUGUAAUCCAUAUGGGGCUUAGUAUCUCAAUUUAGUCUUGCUUUGCUCUCUAACCGUUUGUCUAGAUAUUAUGUUUAUUUUGAUAUACAUGACAGUGCACACUUUUGGUUUCUCAUAUAUUAUUUGUAAUCAUUGGAUAAAUAAAGUUGGACUCUAAAUGACUUAUAUUAAGUUCAUUCAUAAAGUUGUUAGAAACUUUAUUAGAAUAUAUCGUGCAUUGUAAUAUAUGGAAGGAAGUGUUUGUUUGAAAGCAUGACCGCCAUGAUUUGUGUAAUAAAAUAUUCUAGUUAAAAUGAUUGUCGCAUAACUUUUAGUUGAGUGAUAAAGUUUAUGGCCAUAUUAUAUGUUUAUCUCUCAUAAAGGAUUAUCUGAUUUUAAUUUUUGGGCCAAGUGGGAGAAUGUUAGAAAUUACCGUCUCUUCUAGAGACUUCUACUGUGGCCCACAUAUAAAGUAAUAAGUUAUUUACCUUGUCUCCCAAAUGAGAGAAUGUAAGAAAUUCCCGUAUCUUUCUAGAAAUUUCUAGUGUAGCCCACAUAUAAGGUAAUAAAUUAUUUACCUUGUCUACUAAAGGAAAUAAUAUAUUAGAUAAUACUCUGUAGUUAUGCAUAUAUGGUAGUUUCUUUGAUGGAAAAAAAUGACCAUAUAUUAGUAGUCCUAGGGUAAUUACAAUUUAUGGAGAAGUCCCUAGAGCUAAAGUAUUUGCCUAAGAGUCACUAACCUACAUAUAAAUAUGCAUGUGACUCCAUCAGUCUGGCAUCCUACGAUAGGCACAAGCUAGAAGGCUCCUGGGUCUUUUCUGUCAAAAUUUUACAGCCAAUUUUCGACAACACUUGAACAACAAUGGCUGAAGGUACGUUCCAUGUUUAAUUUCCGCUGCGCUGGCUCUGUACAUUCGAAUUUCAACAAUCCAAACAUAAGAAAGUACUAGACUAACAAUAAUACUAAUGGUAUGGACAAGAAAAAUACACGACUACCCACUAACUUUUUACCCUAAUGCUCGACCUUCACAUCCUCCUAUUAAAGGUCAUGUCCUUGGUAAGUUGAAGAAGCACCAUGUCCUGCCUAAUUAAUCACAUCUCCUCAAUGCUUCUUUGGCCUAUCUCUACCUCUUCUCGGACCCACCAUGUCCAACAUUCCACAUCUCCUUAGUGGAGAAUUAGUGUCUCUCCUCUUCACUUGCCGAACUAUCUAAGCGUCGCUUUCGCAUCUUGUCCUCCACGGGAGCCACACCCAUCUUAUCCUAAAUAUCUUCAUUCCUAAUCUUAUUCAUCCUGGUAUGCGUACACAUCUAUCUCAAUAUCCUAAAUAUCUUCAUUCCUAAUCUUUCUAGACAUGAUUAUGCAAUGCAUGGUGGCAUGCAAUAGAGAUACUGGUAGUGAUUGACUAUGGAGGCUUGCCGUGCACAUAGUCUGUGGUGGAGGUGUAGUGGUUGGUGGAUGAUGCUGCAGUGCGAUGGAUGAGUUGCCUUCAGUGGCGGGCGCACAUGGUGGCAAGCAGGUUUAACUGAACCUGUUUUAUCAAAAAUAAUAUUGUAUAUUAUGUAUAAAGGCAAAAUGCCUUAAAUCACCCCUAAACUUGGCUCAGAUUAUUAGUAUCCUCCCUGAACUAUGAUCGGUUUUAAUUACCCCCUCAACUUGAUCUUUUGAGAGAUAUUACCCCCCUAAACUGAUGUGACAAAAAGGGUGGAUGCACUUGUCUGCCAUGUGGAUUUUUCUGUAUAUGUGGCACUUUUUUGAAAAAUAAUAUAUAUUUUUACCGUUUUAAGAAUAUUAAUUUUUUAGAUAAAUCUUUUUCGAAUAUAAUUUAUAAUAAAACUUGGAUAGAACUAUAUUAUUUAGGCUAAAUAUUUUUAUUAUAAAUUGUAGCCGAAAAUUUUAUCUAAAAAAGUAAUAUUCUUAAAACGGUAAAAAUAUAUUUUAUUUUUCAAAAAAAAUGCCAUAUACUGAAUAAUCUACGUGGCAGGUGAGUGCACACAUACUUUUACCGCAUCGGCAUCUGGGGGUGAUGUCUCUUAAAAGGCCUAGUUGAGGGGGUAAUUAAGACCGGACAUAGUUCGAGGAGCAUACUAAUAAUCUAAGCCAAGUUUAUGAGUGAUUUAAGGUAUUUUCCUAUGUAUAAAUUACGAUUAAAACUGUGCAAAUUUUGUAUAAAUACUUUAUUUGAACCCAUGCACUUGAAAAAUACUAUUUUACGACUAACAUUAUAUACUCUAAAAUUAAAUCCGCUUGCACAAAAUUUUGAGUACGUGACUGAUUGCCUUGCCUUCAUUCUUAAUCAGGAUUUGAUCUUUGAGAAGGGAGAAAUCUCUUGCAUUACACAACGCGAAUGUGGAUUAGUCAGAUAGCGGAUUGUGAAUACCAAAUGAUUAUACAAAAAAAUAAGGCCACCUUAAAAUGUCUAGUCAACCUUAAAGAUGCUCAAAGUCAACUUUAAAUAAUGUUUUAAGCAUCUCAAUAAUUUUCUGGCAGCCGAGAAUCAAAAGUCUUUAUGCCACAGCUAUAUAUAUUCAUCACCAGGGACUAUCAACUCUAUAAAGAAGAAAACUAAUGAUUUCAACCCUACUAUUAUUCCAAGUUUAUACCUUUUUACUAUAAGACAAGAGGGGUUGCUCUAAGCAACCCACUCCCAACCGAGAGGUUGUGAGUUGGAGUCUCCCCAAGAGUAAGGUGGGAAGUUCUUGGAGGGAAGGAUGUUGGGGGUCUAUUUGGAAACAGCCUCUCUACCCAAGGGUAGAAAUGAAAUAAAGAUUUUCUACAGGAAACAAAAGUCUGAAGAAUCCAAUAUACAGUAUACAAUUGCAAUCACAUUUGUCAAAAGUGACACAAAUUAUACAAACUUCACCUUAAUAGGAACAAACUCUGCUGUUUCUACUAUGUGAGAUUAUACUGGGUUGUUGUUGUAUACCUUUUUACUAUAAAUUUCUUGAUUUUUUUUCCACUUUUUCUAAAUAUAGGGAUAACUAAAAAGUGACUUCACUUUACUAAUGGGGAUUUUAUUUUGUAAAUCUGCAAAGCUUGCUCAUGCUUCUUCAAGCCAGUUCUUUGGUAGAAUCCACUAUCUUCUUCCAAUUUAUCUCUGCUUCUUUUGAAUAAAAUUUAUAAAAAAGUUGAACUGCUAUGUGAUUUCUUAAACACCCUAUUUAUAUUUGUAAUUCAGGGAUUCUUGAGAUAUAAUGCUACAUUCUUCUCUAUUUAUUUAUGAAUUUUCAGGUUAACCAAAAAGUAUCUCCGCAAAACUGUUUGAUCCGGCGAAUAGAAACCUAUGAGUCUUUUACUCUUGUCAAAGAUUUAUAUGCCACUAGAAAAUGUGUAAAGUUAUAGUGGGGGAGAAACUAUUUUUCUUUUCAUUAUAUAGAGCGAGACUAUUGAUCGAACCCCCACCCGAGAGGUUGUGAGUUCGAGUCUCCCCAAGAGCAAGGUGGGAAGUUCUUGGAGGGAAGNNNNNNNNNNNNNNNNNNNNNNNNNNNNNNNNNNNNNNNNGUCUCCCCAAGAGCAUGGUGGGAAGUUCUUGGAGGGAAGGAUGCCGGGGGUCUAUUUGGAAACAGCCUCUCUACCCAAGGGUAGAGGUAAGGUAUGCGUACAUACUACCCUCCCCAGACCCCAGUACGGGGGAUUAUACUGAGUGGUUGUUGUUGUUGUUAUAUAGAGCGAUACGAGCAUAAAUGGAGAGACAGGGAUCAGUGAGAAUUCAUAUAGCAGACCUUGAUAUGAUUAGGCUGUAGAAUAUGAAAACACAAUCAUGUAUAAGGUUCAUAAUUUGAUUAAAGCAUGUAUGUUAUUGUCAUGGCGCAUUUCUUCCUUCUAUUGAAUGCAAUAUAGUUGUUCAAUUCUAAUGGGCAUCCUAAUGUACUAAACUCUCGCUAUUGCACGGGGUUUGGGGAAGAACCAGACCACAAGGGUGUAUCGUAGGAAGCCUUACCCUGAAAUUCUAUGAGAGGCUGUUUUCACUGCUCGAACCCGUGACCUCCUAAUCACAUGGCAACAACUUUUCCGGUUACGCCGAGGCUCCCCUUAUUCUAUAUGUUAAAUUCUAUUUCCAAGCUGAAUACAUCUUUGCAAUUCUUAUUUUCAGAUCCUAAAACUGGCCCUGGCAAAUGAGAAAAUGGAACCUGUCCAUUCUCAUAAACAGUCAUUUAACAAAAGUGAUUCAUGUGUUCACAGCAACCUCAAGU